rnacentral:rRNA from 1 species
GAUGAACGCUGGCGGCGUGCUUAACACAUGCAAGUCGAACGAGAAAUGUAGACGGAAACCUUCGGGCGGAAGCCUUCAUUUCGAGUGGCGGACGGGUGAGUAACGCGUGGGUAACCUGCCUCAUACAGGGGGAUAACAGUUGGAAACGACUGUUAAUACCGCAUAAGACCACAGCAUCGCAUGAUGCGGGGGUAAAAACUCCGGUGGUAUGAGAUGGACCCGCGUUCGAUUAGCCAGUUGGCGGGGUAACGGCCCACCAAAGCGACGAUCGAUAGCCGAUCUGAGAGGAUGACCGGCCACAUUGGGACUGAGACACGGCCCAAACUCCUACGGGAAGCAGCAGUGGGGAAUAUUGCACAAUGGGGGAAACCCCGAUGCAGCGACGCCGCGUGAGUGAAGAAGUACUUCGGUAUGUAAAGCUCUAUCAGCAGGGAAGAAAAUGACGGUACCUGAGUAAGAAGCCCCGGCUAACUACGUG